UACGUAGGGGGCUAGCGUUGCUCGGAAUUACUGGGCGUAAAGGGCGCGUAGGCGGCGCUGCAAGUCAGGCGUGAAAUUCCUGGGCUUAACCUGGGGGCUGCGCUUGAGACUGUGGUGCUAGAGGAUGGAAGAGGCUCGUGGAAUUCCCAGUGUAGAGGUGAAAUUCGUAGAUAUUGGGAAGAACACCGGUGGCGAAGGCGGCGAGCUGGGCCAUAACUGACGCUGAGGCGCGAUAGCGUGGGGAGCAAACAGG
rnacentral:rRNA from 1 species